rnacentral:rRNA from 1 species
AACGAACGCUGGCGGCAUGCCUAACACAUGCAAGUCGAACGAGACCUUCGGGUCUAGUGGCGCACGGGUGCGUAACGCGUGGGAACCUGCCCUUAGGUUCGGAAUAACUCCCCGAAAGGGGUGCUAAUACCGGAUAAUGUCUUCGGACCAAAGAUUUAUCGCCUUUGGAUGGGCCCGCGUUGGUUUAGCUAGUUGGUAGGGUAAAAGCCUACCAAGGCGGAGAUCCAUAGCUGGUCUGAGAGGAUGGUCAGCCACACUGGGACUGAGGCACGGCCCAGACCCGUGGGGAAGGCGAGGGGGGGAAAUAUUGAACAGGGGGGGAGCGCUAAAGACGACUGUGCCGGGGGAGGGAAGAGGCUUUUGGGGAUGAAUAGCUCUUUAACCGGGUAUUAAACUGACGGUACGGGAAGAAUAAGCACCGGCUAACUCCGUG